rnacentral:tRNA from 1 species
UUAAUUAAAACCAAAUAGAGGUAUGAUAUUGUUAAUAUCAAAAUUGUUUUUAAAACUAAUUAAA